GAUGAACGCUGGCGGCGUGCCUAAUACAUGCAAGUCGAGCGAACGGAUGAGAAGCUUGCUUCUCUGAUGUUAGCGGCGGACGGGUGAGUAACACGUGGAUAACCUACCUAUAAGACUGGGAUAACUUCGGGAAACCGGAGCUAAUACCGGAUAAUAUUUUGAACCGCAUGGUUCAAAAGUGAAAGACGGUCUUGCUGUCACUUAUAGAUGGAUCCGCGCUGCAUUAGCUAGUUGGUAAGGUAACGGCUUACCAAGGCAACGAUGCAUAGCCGACCUGAGAGGGUGAUCGGCCACACUGGAACUGAGACACGGUCCAGACUCCUACGGGAGGCAGCAGUAAGGAAUCUUCCGCAAUGGGCGAAAGCCUGACGGAGCAACGCCGCGUGAGUGAUGAAGGUCUUCGGAUCGUAAAACUCUGUUAUUAGGGAAGAACAUAUGUGUAAGUAACUGUGCACAUCUUGACGGUACCUAAUCAGAAAGCCACGGCUAACUACGUG
rnacentral:rRNA from 1 species